rnacentral:rRNA from 1 species
AUUGAACGCUGGCGGCAUGCCUUACACGUGCAAGUCGAACGGCAGCACGGGAGCAAUCCUGGUGGCGAGUGGCGAACGGGUGAGUAAUGUAUCGGAACGUACCUUUCAGUGGGGGAUAACGUAGCGAAAGUUACGCUAAUACCGCAUAUUCUGUGAGCAGGAAAGCAGGGGAUCGCAAGACCUUGCGCUGAUUGAGCGGCCGAUAUCAGAUUAGCUAGUUGGUGAGGUAAAGGCUCACCAAGGCGACGAUCUGUAGCGGGUCUGAGAGGAUGAUCCGCCACACUGGAACUGAGACACGGUCCAGACUCCUACGGGAGGCAGCAGUGGGGAAUUUUGGACAAUGGGCGCAAGCCUGAUCCAGCCAUGCCGCGUGAGUGAAGAAGGCCUCGGUUGUAAG